CAAAUCUGUUCCUUCACGUUAACAUGACCGGGAUUACACCACCUCUCACUCACAUAAAGUGCAAUCCCGCCGCCCUUCUUCUUCCGACUCUUGGAAACGUCCCUGUCCCCCUGCACCAAGGAAAAUCCAGGAACCUCCACGCUGCAGUCUGGAAUAAGCGAGUGUAGCCAGGUUUCCGUGAAGCAGAAGAUACUGCACUCCCUGUACUCCUUCUGGGUCCUAACCAGCGCCACCUGCAGCCCCGGCGUCUCCUCCGUAACUCCUCUGGGACCACAGGCCUGUCUCCGGGCAGCAGCAGAGGCUUACACAGCGCAAUCAGCUGUUCAUGCGCGUAAACAAUGCCGCUACUCCAUUCGGCGAGGUUCUCCAUAACAAAGAGUAGAAAAAGUAGCAGAAGAACGCAGAGAACAGCGACAAAACCACAUCCAGCCAUUGUGGAAAGCUUAACUGAUGGUCUAUGGGUUCUUUAAGCACGGAUCCUUAGUCGGUUACAGCAAAUAUACACAGACUAACACACACGACAGGAGCUGCAUCUGCAAGCAGCCAGCUGUGCCGGCGCCAAAAAAAAAAAA